GCGUUCCAUGGGGCCACGACAAAUCCUUUCCAGUGCUGUAUCACAAAUCAAUACCAUAUGUUGCUAUUUUAUUUUAUCAUGGACGUAUUAUAUUGAAAAUAAAGUAUUUCACACACAGGCUCUCGUUGAGUGUCCCCCCCUUUUUCAUUUUAUUUUGUUAAGUUUCCAUUUGAAAGUAUUCUUUUCAUAUUUCAUUUUUUUCUUUCUUGUAAAACUCUUAUUCUGGCGAGUUAACCAUACUUGUUUAUAUUUGUUGUCCUCUAUUCUUUUGUAUGAGUAUUCUUAUUUCUACACAUAAGAAUAUACAGAGGGUUAUACAGAGGGUGACCUAAACGAGCACCUGACUUUCAUGUGUCAUGAUAUUCCUCAUUGACAAAUGUUUUGCGCUUUUAGAUAUUUUGUUUCUGUUUUGAAUUAUUUUCGUGUGUUUGCUAACAGACAGCGGCUGUUGGGAAUACUCAAUAAAAAACCUAAGAUAGGUUACAGUCUUUCCUAAAUCACAACAAUUUUGUGUCAGGAUUUCUGUGUAAUAGCGGUCAUUACUGGUUCUUUGUUUAUAAAAUGUAUUAAAAAUUUUUGUUCCGUGUAUGUUUGGUAAUAAUAUGCGAUUCUCUCUAAACUUGCGAAUAAAGAAGAUUUCCUACUUUGUGUCUAUCACUGUUGGAUUAAUUAGGUCCAGUUGAGUUUCGAAUAUCUGUGAAUAAAUUAAGGAAAAUGGAC
rnacentral:lncRNA from 1 species